rnacentral:rRNA from 1 species
AACGAACGCUGGCGGCAUGCCUAACACAUGCAAGUCGAACGAGACCUUCGGGUCUAGUGGCGCACGGGUGCGUAACGCGUGGGAACCUGCCCUUAGGUUCGGAAUAACUCCCCGAAAGGGGUGCUAAUACCGGAUAAUGUCUUCGGACCAAAGAUUUAUCGCCCUUGGUUGGGCCCGCGUUGGAUUAGCUAGUUGGUAGGGUAAAAGCCUACCAAGGCGACGAUCCAUAGCUGGUCUGAGAGGAUGAUCAGCCACACUGGGACUGAGACACGGCCCAGACUCCUACGGGAGGCAGCAGUGGGGAAUAUUGGACAAUGGGCGAAAGCCUGAUCCAGCAAUGCCGCGUGAGUGAUGAAGGCCUUAGGGUUGUAAAGCUCUUCUAACCGGGAUGAUAAUGACAGUACCGGGAGAAUAAGCUCCGGCUAACUCCGUG